rnacentral:rRNA from 1 species
UACGUAGGAUACGAGCGUUAUCCGGAUUUACUGGGUGUAAAGGGAGCGUAGACGGCUGGCCAAGUCUGAAGUGAAAGCCCGGGGCUUAACCCCGGAACGGCUUUGGAAACUGGCCGGCUGGAGUGCUGGAGAGGCAGGCGGAAUUCCUGGUGUAGCGGUGAAAUGCGUAGAUAUCAGGAGGAACACCAGUGGCGAAGGCGGCUUACUGGACUGUAACUGACGUUGAGGCUCGAAAGCGUGGGGAGCAAACAGG